CUUUCUGUAACCACUAGUUCAUGUGUUUGGUGUUUUUGUUAACAAUACUACUGCACCUACUUGAGGUAUAGAAGAUAAAGCAAUGAAUGUAUAUUAGUGGUAAUACGGUCACACUAUAGUGAAACAAAGUUAUAUAUCUGUCACUUCACAUGAUACAUUUUUAUGACAAGAACAAUUAAACUUUAUUAAUAUAACAGAAAUCAUUUAAUACUAAUUCCAUUAGCUAUAAUCCUUAUUUAUACAUAAAAUCUUUACAUUUCUUCAUACUAUAUGUCUGCUACUUUUGUGUCCUUUAAACUGUUGCUAUAUUUCUUCCACUCUUCUUGCCUCUUAACAACCACUAUUUCACUGUUUCUGCAUGUGUAUGUUAGAUUCUACUAUCAGUAAUAUCAUGCAGUACUUUUUUUCUGUGAUAGCCAAUUUCAUUUAACAUAAUGUCUACCACUCAUAUUAAAGAUUCCCUUCUUAUCUUCUAUAGAUUAAUAUCCCAUUAUGAAAAAUAUUUUCACCUUACGUAUACAUUAUGCACAGUAGCUUGUUUUCAUUUAGCAUAAUCAUAGAUUUUUUUCAUCUUGUAACCUUGAGUCUGUGUUUAUGUCAGACAAGUGCUGAAGACACUACCUACCUACCUGCCUUUCUUUUAUAAUCAGGGCAUUAAAAUUGUACAUAUAUGAUGUGAUCACACAAACAUCUUUCUUCUCAAAUAUUUUCUUACCAUUGUUUUAUGGUAAAACAUUCAAAAUAAAUUCUUCUAAUUAAAAAAAAUAGUACUCAUCUGUUAUCACUAUACUUCUAAGUUUGAGCCAAGACCCAAAGCGUAAUUAGCUCCCACUUCUCCCUCCCAACUGCUUUUCCCAAUAUCCACUAUUUUAUUUUCAGUUUCUAUUCUCUCUUAGUAAUCAGUAAGACCAUGUAGUAUUUUUGUUUCUUCUGGAACUUUUCUCUUAAGGCAAUGACCCAUAAUCCUAUCCAUAAUUUUAUAAGUGGCAGGAUUUCAUUUAUGUGACUUUAUUAUAUAUGCACUGCACUUUAUUAACUUUUAAUAUUUAUUUAUUUGUCUGUCUGUUGUGUGCUUCCCAGAAUACAUAUCUACGGAGGUGAGUGGAUACCCUGUGAAAGUCAGUUCUUUCUUCCCAUAUGGAUUCCUAGAAUUGGCCUCAGGUCAUCAGGCUUACAGUUGCAUAGAUUUACCCAAUGAGACUUCUUACUAAGCCACCACAAUUUCCUUAUCUUUUCAUCAGUUGUUAAAUAUUCAUUGGUUGUUUCAAUUUCUUGGCUAUUGUCAACAGUGCUUUAAUAAUAGUGAGAAUAUAGAUGUCUCAUCAACAUAUUGAUUUCAUUUCUCUUGGGUAUAGACCCAGCAGUAAUAUAGUUGGAUUAUGUAAAAGUUCUGUUUUUAGACUUUUGGGAAACAUCCAUAAUAUUAUUCAUAAGGUCUAUACUGAAAUACAUUUCUAUCAAUGAUGUACAUGCUUCCCUUUUCUCAGUAGUCCUUUUAGCACAUAUCACAUUUAGUAGUUUUGAUAAUAUCUAACUGAUUGAAGUGUCAUUUUGAUUAGUGGCAUUGAACACUUUUCAUAUAUGUGUUGGUCAUUUGUAUGGCUUCUUUAAAGAAAUAUCUAUUGAUAUCUUUACCUAAUUUUAAUUGGAUUAUAAUAUUUAUAAUAUUUUCCUUUUUAAUAUUUAGCUAUUUGAGGGAUCUACCUAAUACUAUGUUUCACAGUGGUGAGCCUAGUACUGGUGUCAAGUCUAGCGCCUAAAGUUAAUUCUUUCUUCCUUCCCCCAGGAGGGAUGGUCACUCUAUACAAUUAAUUGCUUAGAGGUGAGUAAAGAGUAGCACACACACAAUUCUUUUUUCCCCGUCUCCUAACUUUUUUCACCAUAUCUUCCCUUUUUAUGCUACAAAUAGGUACUUUUGUCCCUCACCUGGUUUCUUUUGCGCUUGUGAAGACAGUUUAACACAUGCAUAGUUGUAUAAAAUGGUAUUUGUGGGUAGCCAUAUUUUUAGAGUGAUUUUGUUUGCUACCAGUUCAUUACAACUCCUUCUUACCUUUCUUGUGUACCUGCAAUAGGAACUGAAAUUAAUUUUUCUCACAAGAAUAGCAGAAUCUUAGCUUAGUAAAUACUCACCAUUCUACAUAUUUUACCAGUACUUGAAAUUCAAGCUGGAAAAAAAAACAAUAUCAAUCACUGUGUUUCCUAGAUCUCUUGAUUUCCCUCAAUGAUGUCAAAAUAUUCUCGUAUCCUAGUUUGAAAUAGCCAUGCAUAUGUGUGUGUGUGUGAGUGUGUGUGUGUGUAUACACAUAUAUAAUUUAAUCAGUAUAUAUUAAAUGGUAUUUUUCCUGAGAAAAUUGGAGGCCUGAAUGCAAGAAAGGGAGUAGAGUACAUAGGUUGUUAAAUAUGUUAAUGAAAUAAUUCUACCAAUAUUUAUUGGCUGUUUAUCAUGUACUAGAAAUGUGGGAUAAGCAAACAAAGAUUGAGAUGCAACUGUUUCCUUUCUCUUGUAGAAAGGAGUGUAAUCUGUAUGUAUAGAAAAAUUACAGGAAAAGGAUGUGUAGCAACCAUGAUAUAUAUACAUAUACAUCAUAUACAUAUACACAUACAUAUAUACUGAAGAGGAAUGGCCAUUCUUUAUAGUCCAUGAACUACUUAAGCUGAAACCUCAAUUAUCAUUUAGAUAAAUAAACAGACUACAGGGAAAGCAUUGG
rnacentral:lncRNA from 1 species